rnacentral:rRNA from 1 species
GCUGGCAGCUAGCUCUCUGCAAAUCUCAAGUGGUCGCUCACUGAAGCUAAGCAGGGCUGUGCCCGGGCAGUACCUGGAUGGGAGACCACAUGGGAAAGCUAGGUUGCUGCCGGAA